UGCACGCAUGACUGUAAGUCGCUUUGAAUAAAAGUGUCUACUAAAUUGCAUUUA
rfam:Salmo salar isolate Sally breed double haploid chromosome ssa08, whole genome shotgun sequence.